rnacentral:misc_RNA from 1 species
CCAAUAGCGUAUAUUAAAGUUGUUGCAGUUAAAAAGCUCGUAGUUGAAUUUCGGGAUUGACGUGAUGGUCAUGCCUUAAGGGGUAUGAACUGUUGCUGUUGAUUUCUCACCUUCUGGAGAAACUUGAUGUCCUUUAUUGGGUGUCUUGCGGAUCCAGGACCUUUACCUUGAAAAAAUUAGAGUGUUUAAAGCAGGCAUUUUUGCUCGAAUACAUUAGCAUGGAAUAAUAGAAUAGGACGGCAUGGUUCUAUUUUGUUGGUUUCUAGGAUCACCGUAAUGAUUAAUAGGGAUAAUUGGGGGCAUUAGUAUUCAAUUGUCAGAGGUGAAAUUCUUGGAUUUAUUGAAGACUAACUACUGCGAAAGCAUUUGCCAAGGAUGUUUUCAUUAAUCAAGAACGAAAGUUAGGGGAUCGAAGACGAUCAGAUACCGUCGUAGUCUUAACCAUAAACUAUGCCGACUAGGAAUCAGACGAUGUUAAUUUUUUAAUGACUCGUUUGGCACCUUACG